GUGAAUCAUCGAAUUUUUGAACGCAAAUUGCGCUUCCUGGCAUCCCGGGAAGUAUGCCUGUUUGAGGUUCAGUAUUAAUAAAAAAUCGGUUUAGUUACAAAUUGUGACUGUUCCGUAUAUUGAGCUAUCUCUGCAUUUUUCGUGAAGAGGCUUAAAAUUGACCUUUUUUGCGCAUUUUUAUACUUUCAUAAUUUUUUUUUAUUCGUCUAUUCUUAAUGCCAAAAUCUUAUUAGAUGCGAUCAUAUCGUGUGGCUUCGUGUCCAUAAAAUUUUAAUGAAUUGAC
rnacentral:misc_RNA from 1 species